rnacentral:rRNA from 1 species
GCGAACAGGGAGGAGCCCAGCACUGAAGCCUAUAGUUGUUAACCAAUUAUCGGGCAAUGUAGUGUUUGGGAGAGCCCAUUUAACCUGAAUAUUUACAAGCGAGUCCAAGUCCUUCUUGAAGGGGGCCAUUCGCCCAUAGAGGGUGCCAGGCCCGUAGUGACCGUUUGUAUAUUUGGGUGGGUUUCUCCUUAGAGUCGGGUUGCUUGAGAAUGCAGCUCUAAGUGGGUGGUAAACUCCAUCUAAGGCUAAAUAUGACUGCGAAACCGAUAGCGAACAAGUACCGUGAGGGAAAGUUGAAAAGAACUUUGCAGAGAGAGUUCAAGAGUACGUGAAACUGUUCAGGGGUAAACCUGUGAUGCCCGAAAGUUCGAACGGGGAGAUUCAAUUGUCUCACCGGUUACAACCAUUUAACGGUGUUAAUUAUUGUAUUAUUGAGACAUAUAUAUGGUCUGCGGUUCGCCCGUAGUCCGUUAUAUAGGCUCCGCUGUUUUAUGUUUUAUAGUUUGUAACCGGAGGCGUGCACUUCUCCCCUUGUAGAACGUCAUGACUCAUUGGGAUAUUGGUUUUAUUGGGUGUCUUAAGGCUCAUAAUGGAGACCGUAGUUACAAGCCGAGAGGUUUGACAAACCGGACUUUAUGAUGUCCCGACAUCUACCCGAUGGUAUAAUUAUAAUGAUAGAUCGCUAUAAUAUGAAUUUAUUGUAGUAAGAGCGUUCAGAUCUGUGACAAAUACUUAUAUUAUAAUUUGUAUUACCGUGUGGAAAUCGGUGCUAUAUUGGCCGACACUGCACAUAUAAUAUUGUUAGUCAUAGUAUUCUCGAACUGUUCUUUAUCAUUAGUCAAUGGCGUUUAUGUUUUGGGUAAUUACAGGACCCGUCUUGAAACACGGACCAAGGAGUCUAGCAUAUGCGCGAGUCUUUGGGACUCUUAUAAUAAACCUAAAGGCGCAAUGAAAGUGAAUUAUUUUUCAUGAAAAAUUUAUUUUUCAUAUAUGUAUUAUAUAAGGGAAGAUGGAUAACGAUUUUGUUAUCUCGCAUUCCCGGGGCGUCGCGUACUCAUUGCGAGUUGCGGCGCACCAAGAGCG